rnacentral:lncRNA from 1 species
CACGUCUUCGUCGUCUACAAGUUCCACUUCAACGAAUUUGACCGGAUUUGUCGAAACUGGAAACUUGUAGAAAAUUUUUGAUAUUCUUUUCCCACAACGUCUAAGAAUUUUUGCAUUAAUCAUUGCCUUCAUUUCAUUGAACGAGACAUUUCUAUUAAAUCUCAUUGCUAUUUGUUGCCGACAUUCAAAUACACAUCCAACACUUGUUGUCAAGAUCACUCCAACGAAAUAAACGUGUACAAAAAACUUAGCAUCCAUCUUCAAUAUUUAAUCUGUCAAAAAAUAAACAAAAUCUCAAAUAAAAUCUCGAACAGUAAAUAAAUUACUUAAAUAAAAAAAUUAAUGUUUCAAUAUGCAAUUUUGUACAUGAAAACCAUAAUAAUAUUAAUAAUAUUAAUAUUAAUAAUUUUAUACUCAAAAUUAUACUAACUAAAAAUAAUAACUAACCAUAAUAAUAAUACUAGUUUUUUACUAACUAGUUUAUUUUGGUAAAUAAAAAUAAUAACUAACCAUAAUAAUAAUACUAAGUAACAUCUAAACCCUAAAAAUUAAUAAUAAUAAUACUAACUAAAACUAUCAAUUUGAGUUUUAUUAAUUUUAAUAACUAAACUAAAACAAAAAAUAAUAAAAAUUAUACAAAAAAAUAACAACAAGAUAAUCAAUUAUUUUUUAAAAAAUACCUUUUUUUUCUCUUCUCUUCCUCUCUUUUUCUCUCUUU